UACAGAGGUGGCAAGCGUUGUUCGGAAUUACUGGGCGUAAAGGGCGCGUAGGCGGCCUUCUAAGUCAGACGUGAAAUCCCCCGGCUUAACCUGGGAACUGCGUCUGAUACUGGGAGGCUAGAGUGCGGGAGAGGGAUGCGGAAUUCCAGGUGUAGCGGUGAAAUGCGUAGAUAUCUGGAGGAACACCGGUGGCGAAGGCGGCAUCCUGGACCGACACUGACGCUGAGUGAGCGAAAGCCAGGGGAGCAAACGGG
rnacentral:rRNA from 1 species